UACGGAGGGUGCGAGCGUUGUCCGGAAUCACUGGGCGUAAAGGGCGCGUAGGCGGCCUGGUAAGUAGGGGGUGAAAUCCUGCGGCUUAACCGCAGGGCUGCCUUCUAAACUGUCAGGCUCGAGCACGGUAGAGGCAGAUGGAAUUCCCGGUGUAGCGGUGGAAUGCGCAGAUAUCAGGAAGAACACCGAUUGCGAAGGCAGCUCGCUGGAACGUUACUGACGCUGAGACGCGAAAGCGUGGGGAGCAAACAGG
rnacentral:rRNA from 1 species